CCAGGAGGCAAAAGAGGACAAAACCCUUGUUCAUCCAAUUAAAGCUUAAAUUAUGCAUAUUAGAAGGAUUUUGGGUUGUUUCCUUGUUGCAUGAUACAUAAUCUUCAUCCUCAAAACAAGUCCUAAGCAAGGAUUGAAAGAAGGCGACUCGAGUCAACCGGGACGCAAACAAGACAAGACAAAAGUAAAUAGUCUCAUGGAGCAGUCUUGGACCGGAUGAACGAACACACAUACUGCAUCAUUUAUAUGCUUCCGCUCAUCGAGUUCAAAAAGGGGUGUUAGUGUCUUUUGUUGAUGGAUGUUUUUAAUGUGAUGUAAAUGUUACAACUUUUAUUUCUUUUGGAAACUUGUCGUAGAUUUUAGUUUGAAUGAUGGUUGUUAAAAACAGGGAAACGCUAAUACUACG